GACGAACGCUGGCGGCGGGCUUAACACAUGCAAGUCGAACGGAAAGGCCCUGCUUGUGUGUGGUUCUCGAGUGGCGAACGGGUGAGUAACACGGGAGUAACCUGCCCUGUACUUGGGGAUAACUUCAGGAAACUGGUGCUAAUACCUGAUAGGAGCUCCUGCUGCAGGGUGGGGGUUGGAAAGUUUCGGCGGUUGGGGAUGUACGCGGGGCUUAUCAGCUUGUUGGGUGGGGAGUGGCUUACCAAGGGUUUGAAGGGUAGCCGGCAUGAGAGGGUGAACGGCGACAUUGGGACUGAGAUACGGACCAGACUGCUACGGGAGGCAGCAGUGGGGAAUAUUGUACAAUGGGCGGAAGCCUGAUGCAGAAACGCCGCGUGCGGGAUGACGGCCUUCGGGUUGUAAACCGCUUUAGCCUGUGACGAAGCGUGAGUGACGGUAAUGGGUAAAGAAGCACCGGCUAACUACGUG
rnacentral:rRNA from 1 species